CUCCUUCCGUCAGUCCUCCCUCCAUCCCUCCACAGCCUGACCAUCCCACGCUCUCACACACCCAGGGGCUGAUGAGGAAGGAGCCACAAACCGGAGCUGGAAGUUAGUAAAUUGGCAGCGUUCCCACACUGGGUCCGGUACCUCGGCCGGCUGGGCUUGAACAUUCUCUGGGGUGUUGUUCUCAGUCGGAGGCGACGGAGACGAAAUCGCCGCCUGCCCAGGCCCUGGCUGGGAUAGCGGGAGCCCAGGCCCCGGGGCCGAGGGGCACGAGCAGGGCGUAGAGGGCCCAUCCAGGCCAACAGCUCCCAGCAACUACCUUCUCAGACUUUGCUGCAGCAGGGGACACAGAGGGGGUCUAUGACACGGGGCUGCCUACAUAAAGGAUGGGCGGGGAAAGUGACCCUGGCCUAUCCCCCCAAGUUACACUCCUCAACCUCUCCCAAGGUCAUCUUGGCCAGGCCCCUGCCUCAAGGUUGGAUUGUGCCCCCCUGGCCCUCUGGAGAAGCUUCCUGCCCCGCAACCCCAGGACCAGGGAAACUGAGGAAGCCGGUAGAAGAGAAGCGACCAGUCCUGGGUCACACCACUAGCGUGCCGCCCGACCUCUAUUUCCCCCUCCGCGCAACGGGUCGGUUGCUGAGUGCUGCCG
rnacentral:lncRNA from 1 species